rnacentral:rRNA from 1 species
GACGAACCGUGCAAACGUUGUUCGGAUUCACUGGGCUUAAAGGGCGCGUAGGCGGGCCAUCAAGUCAGGGGUGAAAUCUUUCGGCUCAACCGGAAAAGUGCCUUUGAUACUGGUGGUCUCGAGGGAGGUAGGGGCAUGCGGAACUUCCGGUGGAGCGGUGAAAUGCGCAGAUAUCAGGAAGAACACCAAUGGCGAAAGCAGCUCUCUGGGACGGUACUGACGCUGAGACGCGAAAGCGUGGGGAGCGAACAGG